rnacentral:ncRNA from 1 species
CAAAUCGCGUCGCAAGGCGCGACUGAACCGGCAGGAGUCAGCAGAGGUCAUAGUACCGGUGAAUGACGUCAGAAACCGGGAAGGGC